rnacentral:rRNA from 1 species
GACGAACGCUGGCGGCGUGCUUAACACAUGCAAGUCGAACGGAAAGGCCCUGCUUUUGUGGGGUGCUCGAGUGGCGAACGGGUGAGUAACACGUGAGUAACCUGCCCUUGACUUUGGGAUAACUUCAGGAAACUGGGGCUAAUACCGGAUAGGAGCUCCUGCUGCAUGGUGGGGGUUGGAAAGUUUCGGCGGUUGGGGAUGGACUCGCGGCUUAUCAGCUUGUUGGUGGGGUAGUGGCUUACCAAGGCUUUGACGGGUAGCCGGCCUGAGAGGGUGACCGGCCACAUUGGGACUGAGAUACGGCCCAGACUGCAACGGGAGGCAGCAGUGGGGAAUAUUGCACAAUGGGCGGAAGCCUGAUGCAGCAACGCCGCGUGCGGGAUGACGGCCUUCGGGUUGUAAACCGAUUUCGCCUGUGACGAAGCGUGAGUGACGGUAAUGGGUAAAGAAGCACCGGCUAACUACGUG